rnacentral:rRNA from 1 species
GGGCUAAUCACGGUUGGACAUCGUGAGGUUAGUGCAAUGGCAUAAGCCCGCUUGACUGCGAGAAUGACAAUUCGAGCAGGUGCGAAAGCAGGUCAUAGUGAUCCGGUGGUUCUGAAUGGAAGGGCCAUCGCUCAACGGAUAAAAGGUACUCCGGGGAUAACAGGCUGAUACCGCCCAAGAGUUCAUAUCGACGGCGGUGUUUGGCACCUCGAUGUCGGCUCAUCACAUCCUGGGGCUGAAGUCGGUCCCAAGGGUAUGGCUGUUCGCCAUUUAAAGUGGUACGCGAGCUGGGUUUAGAACGUCGUGAGACAGUUCGGUCCCUAUCUGCCGUGGGCGUUGGAGAAUUGAAAGGGGCUGCUCCUAGUACGAGAGGACCGGAGUGGACGAACCUCUGGUGUUCGGGUUGUGUCGCCAGACGCAUUGCCCGGUAGCUAAGUUCGGGAUCGAUAACCGCUGAAAGCAUCUAAGCGGGAAGCGAGCCUUGAGAUGAGUUCUCCCUGAUACUUUAAGUAUCCUAAAGGGUUGUCGUAGACUACGACGUUGAUAGGCAGGGUGUGUAAGCGUUGUGAGGCGUUGAGCUAACCUGUACUAAUUGCCCGUGAGGCUUAACCAU